rnacentral:rRNA from 1 species
AUACGGAGGGGGCUAGCGUUGUUCGGAAUUACUGGGCGUAAAGCGCACGUAGGCGGACUGGAAAGUCAGGGGUGAAAUCCCGGGGCUCAACCCCGGAACUGCCUUUGAAACUCCCGGUCUUGAGGUCGAGAGAGGUGAGUGGAAUUCCGAGUGUAGAGGUGAAAUUCAUAGAUAUUCGGAGGAACACCAGUGGCGAAGGCGGCUCACUGGCUCGAUACUGACGCUGAGGUGCGAAAGCGUGGGGAGC